rnacentral:rRNA from 1 species
AUUGAACGCUGGCGGCAUGCCUUACACAUGCAAGUCGAGCGGAGCGAGGGUGCUUGCACCUUAGCUUAGCGGCGGACGGGUGAGUAAUGCUUAGGAAUCUGCCUAUUAGUGGGGGACAACAUUCCGAAAGGGAUGCUAAUACCGCAUACGCCCUACGGGGGAAAGCAGGGGAUCUUCGGACCUUGCGCUAAUAGAUGAGCCUAAGUCGGAUUAGCUAGUUGGUGGGGUAAAGGCCUACCAAGGCGACGAUCUGUAGCGGGUCUGAGAGGAUGAUCCGCCACACUGGGACUGAGACACGGCCCAGACUCCUACGGGAGGCAGCAGUGGGGAAUAUUGGACAAUGGGCGGAAGCCUGAUCCAGCCAUGCCGCGUGUGUGAAGAAGGCCUUUUGGUUGUAAAGCACUUUAAGCGAGGAGGAGGCUACUAGUAUUAAUACUACUGGAUAGUGGACGUUACUCGCAGAAUAAGCACCGGCUAACUCUGUGCCAGCCGCCGCGGUAA